rnacentral:rRNA from 1 species
GACGAACGCUGGCGGCGUGCUUAACACAUGCAAGUCGAACGGAAAGGCCCUGCUUUUGUGGGGUGCUCGAGUGGCGAACGGGUGAGUAACACGUGAGUAACCUGCCCUUGACUUUGGGAUAACUUCAGGAAACUGGGGCUAAUACCGGAUAGGAGCUCCUGCUGCAUGGUGGGGGUUGGAAAGUUUCGGCGGUUGGGGAUGGACUCGCGGCUUAUCAGCUUGUUGGUGGGGUAGUGGCUUACCAAGGCUUUGACGGGUAGCCGGCCUGGGAGGGUGACCGGCCACAUUGGGACUGAGAUACGGCCCAGACUCCUACGGGAGGCAGCAGUGGGGAAUAUUGCACAAUGGGCGGAAGCCUGAUGCAGCAACGCCGGGUGCGGGAUGACGGCCUUCGGGUUGUAAACCGCUUUCGCCUGUGACGAAGCGUGAGUGACGGUAAUGGGUAAAGAAGCACCGGCUAACUACGUG